rnacentral:rRNA from 1 species
GACAGAGGCCUCGAGCGUUAGGCGGAAUCACUGGGCUUAAAGCGUGUGUAGGCGGACGCCUAAGUGUCUUGUGAAAUCCCACGGCUCACCCGUGGAACUGCUGGGCAUACUGGGCGUCUUGGGCCAACUAGGGGCAGCCGGAACAAGCGGUGGAGCGGUGAAAUGCGUAGAUAUCGCUUGGAACGCCGAAGGUGAAAACAGGCUGCUGGGGUUGCGCCGACGCUGAGACACGAAAGCCAGGGGAGCAAACGGG